CUCAGGUAAUCUUGCUUUUGCUGUUCUAGUUAAAUAAACACUGCUCUAAGACGUGUAUGAGAUUGCCUGUGCAAAGCUGCUAGAGGCUACAAUUACUUCUGAUCUAAACACUGAAGAUGAGGACAACAGGCCAGAGUACAUGAAGAGAAAGAAUAGAGGCUGUAGAAGAAUAGUGAGCAGCAAUGAAGAGGAGGAGGAGGAGGAAGAGAAACAGGGGAGGACUGCUGCACCUCGUGCCCCAACCAAAAAGAAAUCUUACACUAUACUUGCACCAGCCCCCUGCAUCCCAUCUCUUGAUGCUCUAGGUGAAGGGAGUC